rnacentral:rRNA from 1 species
GAUGAACGCUGGCGGCGUGCCUAAUACAUGCAAGUCGAGCGAACAGACGAGAAGCUUGCUCCUCUGACGUUAGCGGCGGACGGGUGAGUAACACGUGGAUAACCUACCUAUAAGACUGGGAUAACUUCGGGAAACCGGAGCUAAUACCGGAUAAUAUAUUGAACCGCAUGGUUCAAUAGUGAAAGACGGUUUUGCUGUCACUUAUAGAUGGAUCCGCGCCGCAUUAGCUAGUUGGUAAGGUAACGGCUUACCAAGGCAACGAUGCGUAGCCGACCUGAGAGGGUGAUCGGCCACACUGGAACUGAGACACGGUCCAGACUCCUACGGGAGGCAGCAGUAGGGAAUCUUCCGCAAUGGGCGAAAGCCUGACGGAGCAACGCCGCGUGAGUGAUGAAGGUCUUCGGAUCGUAAAACUCUGUUAUUAGGGAAGAACAAAUGUGUAAGUAACUAUGCAGGUCUUGACGGUACCUAAUCAGAAAGCCACGGCUAACUACGUG